CGUGUAGCAGUGAAAUGCGUAGAUAUGUGGAGGAACACCGAUGGCGAAGGCAGCCCCCUGGGUUAACACUGACGCUCAUGCACGAAAGCGUGGGGAGCAAACAGGAUUAGAUACCCUGGUAGUCCACGCCCUAAACUAUGUCAACUAGUUGUCGGGGAAGAAAUUCCUUGGUAACGAAGCUAACGCGUGAAGCUGACCGCCUGGGGAGUACGGCCGCAAGGUUAAAACUCAAAGGAAUUGACGGGGACCCGCGCAAGCGGUGGAUUAUGUGGAUUAAUUCGAUGCAACGCGAAAAACCUUACCUACCCUUGACAUGCUAGGAAGCCCGCAGAGAUGUGGGUGUGCCCGAAAGGGAACCUAGACACAGAUGCUGCAUGGCUGCCGUCAGCUCGUGUCGUGAGAUGUUGGGUUAAGUCCCGCAACGAGCGCAACCCUUGCCAUUAGUUGCUACAUUCAGUUGGGCACUCUAAUGGGACCGCCGGUGACAAACCGGAGGAAGGUGGGGAUGACGUCAAGUCCUCAUGGCCCUUAUGGGUAGGGCUUCACACGUAAUACAAUGGUCGGUACAGAGGGCUGCCAACCCGCAAGGGGGAGCUAAUCCCAGACAGCCGAUCGUAGUCCGGAUUGUAGUCUGCAACUCGACUGCAUGAAGCCGGAAUCGCUAGUAAUCGCGGAUCAGCAUGUCGCGGUGAAUACGUUCCCGGGUCUUGUACACACCGCCCGUCACACCAUGGGAGUGGGUUUCACCAGAAGUAGGUAGCCUAACCGCAAGGAGGGCGCUUACCACGGUGGGAUUCAUGACUGGGGUG
rnacentral:rRNA from 1 species